rnacentral:rRNA from 1 species
GAAACCGGAGCUAAUACCGGAUAACAUGUUGAACCGCAUGGUUCAACAGUGAAAGACGGUCUUGCUGUCACUUAUAGAUGGAUCCGCGUCGCAUUAGCUAGUUGGUAAGGUAACGGCUUACCAAGGCAACGAUGCGUAGCCGACCUGAGAGGGUGAUCGGCCACACUGGAACUGAGACACGGUCCAG